rnacentral:rRNA from 1 species
UACGUAGGGGCCGAGCGUUGUCCGGAGUUAUUGGGCGUAAAGCGCGCGCAGGCGGCCUCGCGCGCCCGACGUGAAAGCCCCCGGCUUAACCGGGGAGGGGCGUUGGGGACGGCGGGGCUUGAGGGCGGGAGAGGUCGGUGGAAUUCCCGGUGUAGUGGUGAAAUGCGUAGAGAUCGGGAGGAACACCUGUGGCGAAGGCGGCGGACUGGGCCGACCCUGACGCUGAGGCGCGAAGGCGUGGGGAGCGAACGGG